rnacentral:misc_RNA from 1 species
GAAAUGCGAUAAGUAAUGUGAAUUGCAGAAUUCAGUGAAUCAUCGAAUCUUUGAACGCACAUUGCGCCCGCCAGUAUUCUGGCGGCCAUGCCUGUUCGAGCGUCAUUACAACCCUCAGGCCCCCGGGCCUGGCGUUGGGGAUCGGCGGAAGCCCCCUGCGGGCACAACGCCGUCCCCCAAAUACAGUGGCGGUCCCGCCGCAGCUUCCAUUGCGUAGUAGCUAACACCUCGCAACUGGAGAGCGGCGCGGCCACGCCGUAAAACACCCAACUUCUGAAUGUUGACCUCGAAUCAGGUAGGAAUACCCGCUGAACUUAAGC